GGAGGAGGAACAGGUCAUGGAUACCUGGAAAUCAGGAGAGAUCUGACAGGAAAGUUAAAACCUAUAGGAGAAGGAAUAAUCUGCACUUUCUCUCUGGCUCCCAGGUUGUAACUCCUGAGAAAAGAACCUAGAGAGGAAGUGAAAGCUGAGGACUCCAGUGGGCUUCAGGGAGAAAUGCAGCAGUGGAAUGGACCAGUGGAUGCUGUGAGCUGAAACAACCGAUUGGACUUCUCCCACCCUUAAGGAAGCAGCAUGAUUGGUGGCAGUGAUCUCAACUCCAAACACACGGAGAUGGCUUGCGUGGUAACCUAAUAGACGCUUACAGGUAUGGUGAAGGAAUGCUGCUCAUGUCAUGGCGGCCUGGAAGCAGAGAGAGCAGGAAGAGCCAGAAGAGAUACAGGUAAUCCUCGUUGAAUGACUGAGUUUUGGUCUCACAACUAGGUCAUUAAAUGUUGAUCACUAAAGGAAUUGUAUGCACCAUGUACAUUACAAUAUUCAGAACAAAGAAUCGGUCAAAGGAAACUCCAGCCUGAUGACUUUGCUUUUAUUUGCCUAACUCUUACAUGCAGUACUGUAAUGUAUAACAGAUCAUAAAACUAGAGUCCUGUAUUCUACAGUACAAUCAAUUAGCAAAAGUUACUGUAUAAACAAGUACUGUAUAAAUAAGGUAUACUGUACCAAAAAGACACUUAGGCUCUAUACACAAGACGUAAAGAACUGUACAAAAAAGGAUGGGUCCUAAGUCUGAACAGUCAUUAAACAGGGGGUCCUUAAAUGAGGAAUGUCUGUAUUCUUAAGGAAUGACCCCAGGGACCCAGCUCUUCCACCUAGACUCCACCUCCUAAUAGCCCAACCGGCUAUGAACUCAUUCGUGUGUUAACCUAUGGAUGAGUCAGUACCCUAAGGAUCCAAUCACCUUCAGAAAGGCCCACCUCUGAAGUUAUGUGACUUUGGGGGACAUUUUAAAGAGUUAAACCAUAACAGUAAACAAACUUAAGAUGCAAACAAUACAUCUGGUCACCCCCAUCACACUGAAAAUUAACAGAUUAAUUCUCCCAGAUGACUAUAUAAUCAAAUGAAUUUCCUGUGCAAGUAUAAUGAAUUCAAAUAUUUCCAUAAGAAACUGGAAUUAAACACUUAUGAUAAAGACUUCUACCACUCCUAAGAAACUAGGCGUCCACUUCGUCUGUGUCAUAUGGAGUGCUCUGCCAAAUUCUAUUCCUCUCACUGUAAAUAGUUGUUCGUUGUCUAACAAGCUACCUGUAUAAUGACUGUUUGGACUUAAAACCCAGGCGCACUGUUCAGACUUACGACUCAUCGUUUUUUUUGUACCGUUCUGUACAUCUUGUUUAUAAGGUCUAAAUGUCUUUUUUGUACAAUACACUUUUAUACAGAAGCUUCUGCUGAUGGUACUGUACAGUACAGGUCUUAAGAGACCUGUUGCCAAAGGGCC
ensembl:lncRNA